AGCUCCAAUAGCGUAUACUAACGUUGUUGCAGUUAAAAAGCUCGUAGUUGGAUUUCUGUUAGGGUGAGGCGGCCGGCCACUCGUGGUUGUAGCUUGUUAUCACCUUGGCAUCUUGUCACAAUCCGUGAUGGCAUUAACUUGUUGUCGCUGGGGACUGACUCGUUUACUUUGAGAAAAUUAGAGUGUUCAAAGCAGGCUAUCGCCUUGAAUAUAUUAGCAUGGAAUAAUAAUAUAGGACUUUGGUUCUAUUUUGUUGGUUGUUCGAGAACCGAAGUAAUGAUUGAUAGGGACAGUUGGGGGCGUCAGUAUUCUGAAGCGAGAGGUGAAAUUCUUGGACCUUCGGAAGACUAACAACUGCGAAAGCAUUCGCCUAGGAUGUUCUCU
rnacentral:rRNA from 1 species